CGAGUCUCUGUCAGGAGUGCUGGAUACUGUGCUGAUUCCCACCUCUGCCUUUGGACUGUCGCUCCUAUUUGUCAAGACAGCAAAAAGUUAUAAGCACGUCUACGCAUGUCUGGAGUAACUAAUGCAUCUCCAAAUCUGAGAUAAACCCCUUGGUGAUAGCCGAGGUACACGUCUGUGUCUGCAGUGCAUUGAAAGCAUUCUUGCUGCUGUACAAAGCAACCUGUAUUCUGCAGAUAGGAUAAACUGGAACACCCCCAUCUCACUAGGGUUCAGUCUUCUAUCAACCAAAGCGGGACAUCACUGCAGCUGGCCAUUGGCUGAGUAACAUUGUGAAGUGUUGACCCCCAGAAGCAGGCAGAAGAUCUCACGAAAAGACAGAGAUUACAGGGGCACCAGGGAGCCGCGGUAGAUAAUCAUGAAAUCUUGAAGCUUUUAUUCUGGCUACUAGGGCUAAAACCAAUGUAACCCCCUUGGAUUACGGACUGCUGUAUUAAUACCCUACAGUUAUAUGAAUUGUCCAGCAGAUUAUUAUUAUUUUUUUUUGCUGGUGAACUGGACAAGCAGAUGAACUGAGCAUCACUUGAACUGGGGGAAGGGCAAGUCAGGCCAUGUGCUGGUGUAUUGGUGAAGGGCUAGGAGCUGAAGGGAAAACAGCUCUGCAGAUUAACAAAUUCAAAGGAGUGCUGCAGUAUUUGAGGGAUAUCUGCUAGAAAUUCGUGGCACUCUGAACAUUCACAGACAAGAGAUGUUGAUUUCCAAUGACCGUAUGCUGAAAGUCUUCAUCUUAAAUCCAAAUACUACUAUGGAGCAGGAUUUUGUUAUGGGCCCUAUCUAUUUAAGAUGUAUCAAUUGAAGGUACCCAA